CCUACGGGUGGCAGCAGUGGGGGAUAUUGCACAAUGGGGGGAACCCUGAUGCAGCGACGCCGCGUGGGUGAAGGAGUGCUUCGGCAUGUAAAGCCCUAUCGGCAGGGAAGAAGCAAGACGGUACCUGACUAAGAAGCCCCGGCUAACUACGUGCCAGCAGCCGCGGUAAUACGUAGGGGGCGAGCGUUAUCCGGAUUCACUGGGUGGAAAGGGAGCGCAGACGGCCAUGCAAGCCAGGGGUGAAAGCCCGGGGUCCAACCCCGGGACUGCCCUUGGAACUGCAUGGCUGGAGUGCGGGAGGGGCAGGCGGAAUUCCUGGUGUAGCGGUGAAAUGCGUAGAUAUCAGGAGGAACACCGGCGGCGAAGGCGGCCUGCUGGACCGCGACUGACGUUGAGGCUCGAAAGCGUGGGGAGCGAACAGGAUUAGAUACCCUAGUAGUC
rnacentral:rRNA from 1 species